GAUGAACGCUAGCUACAGGCUUAACACAUGCAAGUCGAGGGGAAACGACAUCGAAAGCUUGCUUUUGAUGGGUGUCGACCGGCGCACGGGUGAGUAACGCGUAUCCAACCUGCCCACCACUUGGGGAUAACCUUGCGAAAGUAAGACUAAUACCCAAUGAUAUCCCACGAAGGCAUCGGAAUGGGAUUAAAGAUUUAUCGGUGAUGGAUGGGGAUGCGUCUGAUUAGCUUGUUGGCGGGGUAACGGCCCACCAAGGCGACGAUCAGUAGGGGUUCUGAGAGGAAGGUCCCCCACAUUGGAACUGAGACACGGUCCAAACUCCUACGGGAGGCAGCAGUGAGGAAUAUUGGUCAAUGGGCGAGAGCCUGAACCAGCCAAGUAGCGUGCAGGAAGACGGCCCUAUGGGUUGUAAACUGCUUUUAUAAGGGAAUAAAGUGAGCCUCGUGAGGCUUUUUGCAUGUACCUUAUGAAUAAGGACCGGCUAAUUCCGUG
rnacentral:rRNA from 1 species